rnacentral:rRNA from 1 species
AGCGAACGCUGGCGGCAGGCUUAACACAUGCAAGUCGAACGGGCACCUUCGGGUGUCAGUGGCAGACGGGUGAGUAACACGUGGGAACGUGCCCUUCGGUUCGGAAUAACUCAGGGAAACUUGAGCUAAUACCGGAUACGCCCUUACGGGGAAAGGUUUACUGCCGAAGGAUCGGCCCGCGUCUGAUUAGCUAGUUGGUGGGGUAAUGGCCUACCAAGGCGACGAUCAGUAGCUGGUCUGAGAGGAUGAUCAGCCACACUGGGACUGAGACACGGCCCAGACUCCUACGGGAGGCUG